rnacentral:rRNA from 1 species
GACGAACGCUGGCGGCGUGCUUAACACAUGCAAGUCGAACGGAAAGGCCCUGCUCUUGUGGGGUGCUCGAGUGGCGAACGGGUGAGUAACACGCGAGUAACCUGCCCUUGACUUUGGGAUAACUUCAGGAAACUGGGGCUAAUACCGGAUAGGAGCUCCUGCUGCAUGGUGGGGGUUGGAAAGUUUCGGCGGUUGGGGAUGGUCUCGCGGCUUAUCAGCUUGUUGGUGGGGUAGUGGCUGACCAAGGGUUCGACGGGUAGCCGGCCUGGGAGGUGGGCCGGCGACCAUGGGACUGAGGGACGGAGCAGUAGCCUACGGGACGCAGCGGGGGGGAAUAUGGCACAAUGGGCGGAAGCCUGAUGCAGAAAUGCCCGGUGCGGGAUGACGGCCUACGGGUUAUAAACCGCUGUCGACUGUGACGAAGCGGGAGUGACGGUAAUGGGUAAAGAAGCACCGGCUAACUACGUG